rnacentral:rRNA from 1 species
AGAACGAACGCUGGCGGCAUGCCUAACACAUGCAAGUCGAACGCUCUUGGGAUUUCGGUCUCAAGGGAGUGGCGCACGGGUGAGUAGCGCGUGGGAACCUGCCCUGUUGUGGGGGAUAACCGAGGGAAACUUCGGCUAAUACCGCAUAAGCCGGCUGUCUUGCGAAAGAUGGCCGGGAAAGAUUUAUCGGCUAGGGAUGGGCUCGCGGCCUAUCAGCUUGUUGGUGGGGUAACUGCCUACCAAGGCGACGACGGGUA